rnacentral:ncRNA from 1 species
UAUCUUUUUUGUUUUAAGAAAAAUUUUAUUUUGGUUUAAAAGAUAGGUAUUUAAUUUUUUUACAUGUAAAUCUUAGUGUUUAUAAUUAUGAAUUUUGAAAGUUUUUAAUUGUGAAUUUUUAACCACAGUAUUUAGUUUUAAAUAUUAAGGAAACUUAGAAUUAGAAAUUUACUUAAAUAUUAACAUAAUUUGUGCCAGCAGUUGCGGUUACACAAAUAAUAUAAUCUAUUAUUUUCAAUUUGUAAUUAAUCAAUAUUUAAAAAUUUAUCUAUUAUAAUUUAUUGAGUGAAAUUUUAAAUUAUAAAAAAUUUUUAUUAAAGAUUUUGAGGUUACUAAAUUUUAUUUAAAACUAGGAUUAGAUACCCUAUUAUAGAAAUGUAAAUUUUAAAAGUUAAAUUAUUAAUAGUUAUAGUCUUUAAAGUUAAAAAAUUUGGCGGUAUUUUAAUCUAUUCAGAGGAACCUGUCCUGUAAUUGAUAUUCCACGAUUAAAUUUACUUAAUUUAAAAAUUUGUAUAUCGUCGUAGUUGAAUAUUUUAGGAGAAAUCAAAUAUUCAAAAUGUUUAUUUAAAAUUUAAAUCAGAUCAAGAUGCAGUUUAUAAUUAAGAAGAGAUGGGUUACAGUAAAUUUAAUUUAUGGAUUUUAGUUUGAGAAAUUAAAUGAAAUUGGAUUUGAAAGUAAUUAGAUUUAUAUUGGUUUAAUGAUUUUAGCUCUAAAAUAUGUACAUAUCGCCCGUCGCUCUCAUUUAAAUUGAGAUAAGUCGUAACAUAGUAAAUGUACUGGAAAGUGUAUUUAGGUUG